ACACAUUCCAGCCAAUCAGCAGCAGAUCCUCCCUCCCAGGCCCUCCCACCUCCUGGACAGCCUCCAUUGUGAAGCUGCAUUCUUAGUGAGCUGUCCAGGAGGUGGGAGGGUCUGGGAGGGAGGGUCUGCUGCUGAUUUGGCUGGAAUG